AAUCAACGCUGGCGGCGUGCCUCAGACAUGCAAGUCGAACGCGAACAGCUCCUUCGGGGGCUUAGUAGAGUGGCGCACGGGUGAGUAACACGUAGGUUAUCUACCUCCGAGUGGGGAAUAACUUGGGGAAACCCAAGCUAAUACCGCAUAAUAUCUUCGGAUCAAAGCUUAAUGUGCUUGGAGAGGAGCCUGCGGCGGAUUAGGUAGUUGGUAAGGUAAUGGCUUACCAAGCCUGCGAUCCGUAUCCGGUCUUAGAGGACGGUCGGACACACUGACACUGAAUAACGGGUCAGACUCCUACGGGAGGCAGCAGUCGGGGAAUUUUGGGGCAAUGGGGGCAACCCUGACCCAGCAACGCCGCGUGAAGGAUGAAGUCCUUCGGGAUGUAAACUUCGAAAGAAUGGGAAGAAUCAAUGACGGUACCAUUUGUAAGCCCCGGCUAACUCCGUGCCAGCAGCCGCGGUAAU
rnacentral:rRNA from 1 species